UACAGAGGGUGCAAGCGUUGUUCGGAAUCAUUGGGCGUAAAGGGCGUGUAGGCGGUCUGUUAAGUCAUGUGUGAAAUCCCUCGGCUCAACCGGGGAACUGCGUCUGAGACUGGAAGGCUUGAAUCCGGGAGAGGGAUGUGGAAUUCCAGGUGUAGCGGUGAAAUGCGUAGAUAUCUGGAGGAACACCGGUGGCGAAGGCGGCAUCCUGGACCGGUAUUGACGCUGAGGCGCGAAAGCCAGGGGAGCAAACGGG
rnacentral:rRNA from 1 species